rnacentral:rRNA from 1 species
UACGUAGGGGGCUAGCGUUGUCCGGAUUUAUUGGGCGUAAAGAGCGUGUAGGCGGCCAGGUAGGUCUGCUGUGAAAGUCCAGGGCUCAACCCUGGAAGGCCGGUGGAAACUGUCGGGCUAGAGUCCGGAAGAGGCGAGUGGAAUUCCCGGUGUAGCGGUGAAAUGCGCAGAUAUCGGGAGGAACACCAAUGGCGAAGGCAGCUCGCUGGGACGGUACUGACGCUGAGACGCGAAAGCGUGGGGAGCAAACAGG